UGGGGAAUAUUGCACAAUGGGCGCAAGCCUGAUGCAGCCAUGCCGCGUGUAUGAAGAAGGCCUUCGGGUUGUAAAGUACUUUCAGUCGGGAGGAAGGUGGUAAGGUUAAUAACCUUAUCAAUUGACGUUACCGACAGAAGAAGCACCGGCUAACUCCGUGCCAGCAGCCGCGGUAAUACGGAGGGUGCAAGCGUUAAUCGGAAUUACUGGGCGUAAAGCGCACGCAGGCGGUUGAAUGAGUCAGAUGUGAAAUCCCCGGGCUUAACCCGGGAAUUGCAUCUGAUACUGGUCAGCUAGAGUCUUGUAGAGGGGGGUAGAAUUCCAUGUGUAGCGGUGAAAUGCGUAGAGAUCUGGAGGAAUACCGGUGGCGAAGGCGGCCCCCUGGACAAAGACUGACGCUCAGGUGCGAAAGCGUGGGGAGCAAACAGG
rnacentral:rRNA from 1 species